GUGCUUGCUUCGGCAGCACAUAUACUAAAAUUGGAAUGAUACAGAGAAGAUUAGCACGGCCCCUGCGCAAGGAUAACAUGAACAUUUGUGAGGUGUUCCAUAUUUUC
ensembl:snRNA U6 U6 spliceosomal RNA